GGUGGAAAGACCAUCAAUGGUUCUCUGAACAAUUGGUUUUUAAUUAUUAGGUCUUUCCACUUUUCCGUGGAAAGACCUAUUGGUUUUCUUCUGAUUAUUAUUAUUAUUUUUUUUCUUCCGCCAACUUUUUGUUCCUCCGCAACUUUUUUGUUUCGCAAGAUGUCGCUUAGACAUAUGGUAUAUGAUAUCGAACAGUUAUUACGCUUUUGUAACUGACACCGUGUAACCAAAAUCUCUCCCAUAUAAGAGUUAUCUCCCCGAACACUGUUUUUCUUGUUAUCGCGUAAUCUUCACAACCGUAUAAGAAACCGACAAAUUUAUUUUUGCAAAUUGCUCAUUACAUCUUCAGGAUGUGCUGUUUUAUUUUGACCGAAGCCGUAUAGAGAUUCCAUAUGAGAGUUAUUUCCCCUUUUGUAUUUGAAAUUUUGAAAUGUAUUUUAAACUGGAAAACCAUAAGUGAUAGAGACCUAGGGUCUUUUGAUUUGAGAUCCUUGGUCCAAAAAAAUGAAAAUUAGGUCAAGGUCAAAGGUCAAGGUCAUAUUCUAAAUUUUGAUUUUGGCUUAUUU
rnacentral:lncRNA from 1 species